GACGAACGCUGGCGGCGUGCUUAACACAUGCGAGUCGAACGGAAAGGCCCUGCUUUUGUGGGGUGCUCGAGUGGCGAACGGGUGAGUAACACGUGAGUAACCUGCCCUUGACUUUGGGAUAACUUCAGGAAACUGGGGCUAAUACCGGAUAGGAGCUCCUGCUGCAUGGUGGGGGUGGGAAAGUUUCGGCGGUUGGGGAUGGACGCGCGGCUUAUCAGCUUGUUGGUGGGGUAGUGGCUUACCAGGGCUUUGACGGGUAGCCGGCCUGAGAGGGUGACCGGCCACAUUGGGACUGAGAUGCGGCCCAGACUCCUACGGGAGGCAGCAGUGGGGAAUAUUGCACAAUGGGCGGAAGCCUGAUGCAGCAACGCCGCGUGCGGGAUGACGGCCUUCGGGUUGUAAACCGCUUUCGCCUGUGACGAAGCGUGAGUGACGGUAAUGGGUAAAGAAGCACCGGCUAACUACGUG
rnacentral:rRNA from 1 species